CUCAGGGCUUCGGGAUACAAACACUCAGUUAACUCUUCUGUGGCAGUUCAAAGGCAAGAAGUUAAUUGAUAAAAUGCUGGCCAUUAGGAAUGAUGCUGUUUUGAAUAUUUGCAUGGAGUUUUGGUGGGGAUGUAUGUUUUUAUUUCUUCUGAGCAGAUGUCUAGGAGUGGAAUCACUAGGUCAGAUGCAGGUCUUACUAUACUGCAUUUUGAGACAAGCUUGCCUGAAGCUCACUGUGUGGUCUAGCCUUGCUGCAAACUCAUAAUCCUACAGCCUCAGCCUCCCGAGUGCUGUGAUUACACCUGGCCCGUUAGCCUGUCACACCCGGCCAUGUCUACCCUUUUACAAAGUCCCUGUUUUCUCUUCACCCUUGACCCUCCACUAGUAUUAUGGCUGAUGAUUGCUGAUAAUAACACUUGCUGUUUACAGCCAGGGACUUUUUUUUUUUUCA